GAUGAAGAACGUAGCGAAAUGCGAUAAGUAGUGUGAAUUGCAGAAUUCAGUGAAUCAUCGAAUCUUUGAACGCACAUUGCGCCCCUUGGUAUUCCAUGGGGCAUGCCUGUUCGAGCGUCAUUUGUACCUUCAAGCUCUGCUUGGUGUUGGGUGUUUGUCUCGCCUCUGCGUGUAGACUCGCCUUAAAACAAUUGGCAGCCGGCGUAUUGAUUUCGGAGCGCAGUACAUCUCGCGCUUUGCACUCAUAACGACGACGUCCAAAAGGACAUUUUUACACUCUUGACCUCGGAUCAGGUAGGGAUACCCGCUGAACUUAAGCAUAUCAAUAAGCGGAGGA
rnacentral:misc_RNA from 1 species